GAUGAACGCUGGCGGCGUGCCUAAUACAUGCAAGUCGAGCGAACGGACGAGAAGCUUGCUUCUCUGAUGUUAGCGGCGGACGGGUGAGUAACACGUGGAUAACCUACCUAUAAGACUGGGAUAACUUCGGGAAACCGGAGCUAAUACCGGAUAAUAUUUUGAACCGCAUGGUUCAAAAGUGAAAGACGGUCUUGCUGUCACUUAUAGAUGGAUCCGCGCUGCAUUAGCUAGUUGGUAAGGUAACGGCUUACCAAGGCAACGAUGCAUAGCCGACCUGAGAGGGGGGAUCGCCAACCGUGGACUGGAACACGGGACCGGCCCCCGAGGGGGGGCAGAAGGGGGGAUUCUUCCGAAAGGGGCGAAAGCCUGACGGAGCAACGCGGGGGGGGUGAAGAAGUGUUUGGGAUGGGAAAACGUUUUUUUUGGGGAAAAAAAAAUGUGUAAGGAACUGUGCCCUCUUGAAGGGUACCAAAACAGAAGGCCCGGGCAAAUUACGG
rnacentral:rRNA from 1 species